CUGUGGUGAUGGUGUGGUAUGUCUGUGGUGAUGGUGUGGUAUGUGUGUGGUGAUGAUGUGGUAUGUGUUUGGUGAUGGUGUGGUAUGUGUGUGGUGGUGGUGUGGUAUGUGUGUGGUGAUGAUGUGGUAUGUGUUUGGUGAUGGUGUGGUAUGUGUGUGGUGAUGGUAUGGUAUGUGUUUGGUGAUUGUGUGGUAUGUGUUUGGUAAUGGUGGUGUGUUUGUGUUUCUCCAGAUGAAGAGAAGAGUGCGGUAGCUCUCAGUCCCGCCCGGCCUCAUUCCCACAGUCCAUUUGGGCUGCUGUCUGUGCUUCCCACCGCGCCGCCUCGGCCAGGCCCCGCACCCACACAGCUACCGCACACGCACCUGCAGCUUCAGCACCCGCACACCGCUCUGCAGCUACAGAGCACAAAGUCAAGGGGCUCAAAGCACAAGUCGAGACGGAAAUCCAAAAAGCAGAGAAAGCCGUCUACUUCCAGUCGAGUUCCUGUAGGAACAGCGGCUCCUCAUCACAACCUGAACGACCUCAUCGUGAUCCACGGGAUUCCACUGCAGCAGAGGAACCCUGGAGUUCUGGACCGAGCAGCUCAGUAAUCACACUCUGCUUCUCUCUGUUAGAAAUACAGAAGAUGAUCAUCACACUGUUUAUAGGGGUUGAGGGGCGGAGUUUUAUUGUGUAUAUAAGUAUAGAGUCUGUUCUCA
rnacentral:lncRNA from 1 species